GUGAGCAGACAGGGAGCAGUGGGGGAGUCUGUCUCGUGGGCACCCUGAGCCCACGCAUGUCCCUCACCCUGAUGCUUCCCUGCAG
ensembl:miRNA